UUCGGGAGACGCUGAAGCCUCCCCUGCCCUAGAGCUGUGGCAGGAGAAAAGACACACCGUUGGCCAAGGACCUGCUGCUUCCCCGGCCCUGUGCUCACAGGAGCCUCCCGCGUCCUAUUCCCUCCAAGACUGUGCAUGGGCAGGAGGGGUCAGGAACCACAAGGACAUACACUGGACAUGCCAGCCACCCCUGGGAGCAGGACGCUUACCUGGAGACCCAAGAAUAGAGCCUGCUGGGUGCACAUUUUCCGGUCCUCAUCCCAACCAUUGAGAUGAAGAAAAGAACCACUACCAGAAUGCUGAGCACAGAUGCAGAGACCACUGGGGGAAAAGUUUUCCAGAAUCCAGACCCCUUGAUGGAGAAGUCAGCCUAAUGAAUCAUUGACACGUCUGGGCUUCCUGAGAACACUAUGGAUGGAGGUGUCCCAGUUCCUCCAGGAAAGCAGAGCUUCGGAGCGCUGCGCGGAGGCGAAGAAAAGCCUUUACUUAAAGAUGAGUCAGGAAGGCAGAGGGCCGGGGUGGAAAGGGCUGGAGGCGGCCAGGGGAGGCGGGUGCGGGGGCACUGGCUUCGGGUGAGUAUGUGACCCACCCCACACCCUAAAAGUCCACACUCGGUGGCAAACACUGUAUGUUCAGGAUCUCAUUCCACCCUCCAAAGACCCCGUGUCGGGGAUCCUGUCAUGCAGCUCCAUUGGACAGAUGGGGAAACUGAGGCAUAGGUAAACCAAGCCCUUCCCUGAGGGCCUGGACCCUGGCCUGUCAGACUCCAGCCUGCAGGCUCUUCACCACUCUGCUCAUCAGGCAGGAAGCAAGGGUCAGUGGGAUUCUGGAGUGUUAGGUCCUCCAGAACCUCUAAGCUGUUGCCUGGCAUGGGAUCAGGAUUCAGAAGCCGAGGCUGAAUCCCAGCUUAAUCUGCUCUGGAAAACAGAGGUGAUAGUCCCAACAUCACAGUCCUGUUGUGAGGGUGGAAAAGGCAGAUGUGUGCGCUGCAGGGAGCACGGGGCCUGCGCAGAUUGCUCAGUGAAUUCUGAAUAUACUCAAGAGAACAUGAACUGCACUAACAAUCCAACCCCAAAUGUACAAUGGCUCCAGUGCAAUCAAGUUGUAUGUCCAAAGCAGGUGUUCUUGAUUGGUAGGUAUCAUGAGAUGGAAUGAGGCUGGGUCUGUUCCGGGAUAGCCCCUGGGGAGGGCACCCACCUGUCAACACCCAGUUUCCAUCUUGCUGGCCAACUCUUUCUAUUGCCUUCUUAGCCUGCAUGCUCUGAUGGAGCAAGCUGCUAUGUGUGAUGUUCCCCUGGGCAAGGAAAGAAGGGCAGGUGGUCCUGCUCAUCUGCACUAUCUGCACUGGACCAGCAAAAAUGCGAGGAGUUCAUGGGAGGUUCUCAAAGGCCUGAAGUGGACAUAGCACAUGCUAUGUGCUAUGCUUCUGCUCACAUGCUAUUGGCUGGGAUGUAGUCACAUGAUCCCACCUACCUGCAGAGGAGGCUGGGAGAUGUAGUUGUGCUAUAUGCGCAGGAAGAAAAAAAAAUUUCUUGUUUGGUCGAACAGCUGGACAGUCUCACUUCACCUGGAGAGGUGAAAUUAUGUCUGAGGAAAUCCAGCGGGUCAGUAGCUGAGCCCAGCUUAGAGCUCAGGUUCCCCGUGUGCAUCUGAGUCCCAGGCUCUUCCCUCCACAUGUUGUGCUCCAGAGUGAGGCAGAGUCACAGGUGGCCAGUCAGAUCUCAGACAUGGGUUCAUCUGAAUAGGGGGAAGGAGGUGAACAGGGGGUCAACCUGCUAUCUCUCUUGCCUGGAGGAAUGACGGGUAGUGGGCAGAGCACCACAGCUUCAGGGCUCUGGGCUGUGAAAUCAGUCCAGAUGCAGAGUUGGCCUCAGGUACUCAUUGGGAACAGUUUUCUCACCUGCCCCACAAGGCUGCAGGGAGAGGAUCCAUUGUAUGGGAUUGUGUGAGGGUGAAGGAAGAUCUGAUACCCUCAUUGCUCGCCUUUUCCAGCUCCCACUUCUCUCAGGGCCCUGCUUUCUGAGGUUCAGGUCUGAGUUAAUCAAACUAAGGACUUUGGAUAAUGUUAGUUUCAGGGCUCAUCCUGCCCAGGGGUGUUUGAAUACAAUGGGAAGCUGGGGAGAGGAGAAGAAAUCAUGCAGGUCACUGAGGUCAAGUUUCUUCCAUCAAACAGAUGAGGACAAUGACACUCAGAUACUGGAUGCUUUAUGAAUAUGCAUAACCAAACCCAGAAAUCUACCUCUAGGAAUUUAGCCCUUAGAAACAAUCAGAGAUGUAUAUGGAGAUCUAAUGCAUAGGAUGUUGCUCAUAACAGUUAAAAACUGGAAAGAAUCUGCACGUGACCUCAGUGAGGUAAAGUUAUUUAUGCUACGCCCAUUCAAUGGAAAACUAGGCAACAAUUUCAUACUUGAACCGCAUGUUGUUGUCUUAGGACUGGAAGAUAUCUAAGGACAAGGAGAUUUUGACCUUUUAUGACUCUAAAUCUUAGAUGCUAAUGGCAUCUGAAAAUAUGCUGAGA
rnacentral:lncRNA from 1 species